rnacentral:rRNA from 1 species
AUUGAACGCUGGCGGCAGGCCUAACACAUGCAAGUCGAGCGCGAAAGCUCUUCGGAGUGAGUAGAGCUGCGGACGGGUGAGUAACGCGUAGGAAUCUACCCAGUAGUGGGGGACAACUUGGGGAAACUCAAGCUAAUACCGCAUACGCCCUAUGGGGGAAAGCGGGGGACCUUCGGGCCUCGUGCUAUUGGAUGAGCCUGCGUUGGAUUAGCUAGUUGGUGGGGUAAAGGCCCACCAAGGCGACGAUCCAUAGCUGGUCUGAGAGGAUGAUCAGCCACACUGGGACUGAGACACGGCCCAGACUCCUACGGGAGGCAGCAGUGGGGAAUAUUGCGCAAUGGGCGAAAGCCUGACGCAGCCAUGCCGCGUGUGUGAAGAAGGCCCUA